GGGCCGCGCCGGGCCGAGCGCCAGCCCCUCUCCACGGAGCCGGCAGCGGGGAAAGGCCCGGCGCUCCGCAUCGGGGCCGCUGAGGUGCGCGGGCAGUGUGGCGCCCUGGCGGGGAGACGCCUCUCCUGCUCGCCUGUCGUUAAAACCACAACAGCAGCAUCGCCACCAUCGCUGCUGCCCGCUGACGGCUCCGCGGUACUGUCGGAGUCACCGCUAGCUCUCGCCUCCGGGCGGCACCCGAGCGGUAACUGCGGCGGCUGGGGGCGCGGGUGGUGCCAUGAGAAGGGAGAAAACUUGCGGGAGCAGCCCUGGCCGAUCGCUUACUGGAGUAGGAAAAAGACUAGAGGACGAUAAAGGRAGAAUGUUGAGACCCGCUGGGGUCUGUCAGCUACAGGUUUUGCAGUUGGCUUAUGGAUUUGUAUGACUGGUUUUGCCGCAGCAMAACAGCAGUAUUUUCUUUCCGCGAUGCAGAGAUACUCACACUAGCUGUUACCUCUUACUCAAAAACUCACCAAGGGAAAAAGCCAAAAGUGCAAAAGAAAAGCCUCUCCUGCUUCCAAACAAGACCUGUGACUUCAGGUCGGUUGAACAUUGGUAGUGCCUGGACGCCUUUACCCCAGUUCUAAGAUCUAAUCAGCCUCACACACUCCCCACACACCCACUGCUCUGCCUCAGCAAUCCUGAGCUGACAGGCUGAUGGAUUCCAGAAAUGGCUUCAGAAUACUAACAUCCACUAUGUCACCUCUUGCUCAGGCCUUUGAAAUCCUUGUGCCAUUCUUCACCACAAUAUGCUAAAAGYGCACCACCUUCUCAGUAACAGGCAGGGGUCACUUACUGUGAGAAGGAUUUUAUUCCAAAUGCUUUGAGCAUUUUUGGAAGAGUGGGUAAGGAAGGUUAUCCUGCAUGCUAUUAUUCUCUCAUGAACGAUUUUAGCUGAAAUUUUCCAGGGUGGGAAUGGAGUAGGGAGUGGAGAGAGGUAAAUGAAGGAGCAGAAACCAUUCCUUGCCCAUGUCAAGCCUGUUAUUUCAGGGUAGAGAGAAUCAUGGGUUGUUUGUGCUAGUGAGCAAGCUUUACUGACUGAUAGACAGUACUUUCUAGUCUCUCUCAGCUGGAAUUAGGGGUUGACAUUUAGUAAUAGCAGUUGACAUUUUGUAAUAGGAAGUGGGAUUAUUAAGGUAAUAUUGUUGAUUGACACAUUCCUCUGUCUGCAAUGCCUGACCUGGUUUGCCUGGUGUGUGAGCUGCUGACAAAUGUGCACAGCUCUUUGUUGUAGGCUGAUGCACAGCUACUUCUGCCCUGCUCUGAAAAGACAUGCAGUGACAUGGGUUGUGUUUGCAAGCGAACUGCCCUCCUGACCCAGCAAUGCUGUCAUGUUGGGAGGAACUUGUACAUCAGCGUGCUGGAAAGAAGCCCAUGUGUGUGUGACAGCAGAAAGACACAUGACAAYGGAGUGGACAGUGCUCACCAGGAGAGCCAUUAUUCCCCCCUCCCACUGUUUUCUCCUGCUGGCAGGCAAGCCCUGUGUGAAAAUGAACUUCACUAAGGCUCUGUCUUCGUGAUGAUCACCGUGCUCUCUCCUUUUUCUGCUUAAAACCUCUGUUAUCAUUAAAGAUGUCUGAACAAUGCUGUCAGAAACCAAAAUCCCAUGGGUAAUACAUCUGCGGAUUCAUUUUGUUAGUAAAAUAUAUUAAAAACUCAAAUUGCACCUAUUUGUAGGGUAGAUCAGUAUCAAAUCUGCCCGAUUUAGCCCUUUUCUAUGUUUUUUCUUAUGUCAAGGUAAUGUGGUGUGCUGUUUCUACUUGAAACAGGAAAGGGGAAAAGACAACAGCAGUAGGAGAGAACUGCUUUGUUGUUUGGAGCAGAACAAUUUGCUCCCACACCUGGAAGUAAAAUAAAUCUUUUUCUUCACUUGUCCUUCUAGAUGUAUCACCUUGCUGUAUGUAACCUUGCAAGGACCGGUCUGGGGCUUCAGGAAGAUAAUCUUACUCAGAGCGGUUCUUUCCAACCUCAUUCCUUUGCUCUGUACCACAUACCCUAUGGGCAGGGGCACCAUUUGUUAGUGGCAACUCAACAAGACUGUGAUAAGAUCAAUGUUGAAGGAGAAUGGCCUCAUCUGCCCUGCAUUUUCUCAUUCUUUUCUGGUGCUCUGCUUCUUCCUGAUAUCUCUGUCUGAUCCUUUCUCCCCUGUGUCACCCUCUCUUUCCCAUACCUAAGCAAAUCUUAUCCCUAUAUUGAUCCUGGUUCUCAUUUCUAGAAGCGGGAAGCAUAAGCCAGAUGUCUGCUUCUCAGUUAAAAGAUUUCUUGUUUUAUAAGUACUUGUACUGAGAUACCUGUAAUCUCUGAUAUGUGAGCAUAUCUAAUAUUCCGUGAAUAGAUCCAGCAAUGCAACUGAUACAAUAGGUAUGGGAAAGAAAGUUUUCAGCAAUGGACUAGUCUCUGGGCCUUGGUUAAUAAAUGGAUGUGAAAUAACUUAGUGCUGGGAGAGGAUUCUGCAUCCCUAGCACUUCUCCAGUAUUCAUCCCCCAUGAUGGUAAUUACAGGAUCGUCCAUGUUCAAAGCAGGGUCAGUAGUUGUGGCUUAAGGGGCAAGGGAAUACCCAAUAUUUAUAGAUGCUCAUGGUUGAAAGAAAUUACAAGUCAGAGGGUCCACAAAAGCUUACAGAGUUUUAUUAGUAAAUUACAUUCUUGGCACAUACAUUAAUUUGAGUUCGUGCUGGACCUACAUGUGCUGGACCUGCACAUGGCACUAGGUUUUGGGUAUCAAGAUGGGAUGAAAGGGAACAGAGAGAGUAGUGGGAAUUGGAGAGUAGGUGGGAGAAUGAAAGGGAGAAAAGGGAGAAAGUGGGAUGACCAAUCUUGGCUCCAGCAUCGAUCCAGCUGAUGGUGUGUUCAGGAUUCUGGGAGUGCCUACACACCUGGGCUUGGUUGGGGUACCUUUUAUAGAUAAAUGUCCCCAUUUUGAAGACAAGUUUCUCACUUUCUAUGCAAGUUAGUAAUCCUGUACAGGCUAUUCCUCUGGACAUUUCUGGAAAUGGGUUGGAGGGUUUUGGGGAACUUUGGUGGUUUUGAUCUGCUCUUCCAUCUAUGCCCACUUCUCAGCCGCAUCUCUGCACUUGUGCUGUGCUGCAUUGUGCUCAUCUCCAGGAGCCAGAUCAAGGGCAUUUGCCCCAGAAACGUGCUGCCCUGCCUCCUUAUGGUCUCUUCUCCAACCACAUCCUGGUCUGUCCAAUUCCUGGCUGUUACUGCCAACAGUCCAUGGUUGCCUCCACAGCUAUCUGGCUAUCAGUGUUUGAAACAUACACAUUAGCCCCUGGGUCUUUAGGAUGAAACAGCAAUGAGGUCAAACCAGUUUACUUAAAACUCAUUCUAGUCUUGAAAACCCUCAGCAGUGGAGACUGCACAACCUCUCUGGGAAAUUGAUUCUACUGCUGGAUCUACAUAUGUCCUAGGACAUAUGCCACAGCACAGCCCUCAGACUGAGUACAAAUCAUUCAGCACAACUCUCUGAACCUCAUUCAAAGCUGGAUCAGUUGGCUACGCAUCCAGACCAUAAUGUCCUAACUUAAAUGCAAGAACACUGGUAGACAAAGUUGAAAAUGUUGCUAAACUCGUGGUAAAUUGCAUCAUUGCUCUCACCUGUCCACAAAUCCCAUUCUUUUAUAAAAAAAUGUCAAUCAGGCACAUUCACAGUUAAGAUUUAUCCUUGGUGAACCUGUGCUGAUUAUUCACAUUUGCCUACAUCUUCUUCAUGUAUUCAGAAAUGUACAAGAGAAUUUUUUUCAUGGUUUUUUUCCCCAGUGAUUGGAAUGUGACUGGACAGUCUGCAGUUGCCUGGGCAACUUUUUAAGUAUAAAAUAUCCUUUGUAAGUAUAAGAGUUCUUUUUAAGUAUAGGUGCAACAUUUCUACAGUUGGCAGGGGCGUCCAUGGGUACUCAAAGAUGGCUGAAAGUGAUCUUGUGAUUGCCUCAGACAUCUUUCUCAGCAUCCUUGGACACAGCCCUUGUGUUUCCAUGGACUUAUAUAAGCCAAGUUUUCUCCAGCAAUUCCUAUUUCACCCACUUAUUGUCAUCUUUCCCCUCCAUGAUUUCCUGGCUUGAAGGUGUGGGAGACCUUGCUUUGUAAAAAGGCGUUGAGUUCCUCAGGUUUGACUGUGUCCACUUUUAGUAAAUCACCCAGCCUACUCAGUGACUGGACUCCAUUUUCUUUGUUCAGCUGCUUACCUCUUAGCCAUUGAAGCUCUCUUUGUUACUAUUGACAUGCAAGUCAAAAUUCCAGAUGAGAUUUUCAUUUCCUGACACCAUUCCUACAUGCCUGGGCAAUGUUUUUAAAUUCCUGUUGUGUAGCCCAUCCCUGCUUCCAUCUCCUGUAUAUUCUUCUUUGGCAUUGGAGUUCUGCCACAAUUCCCUACUUACCCAAGCUGUUCUGCUUAUUUGUCUCUCCUUUUCCUGAAGACAGAGAUGUCCUGCUCUAACACUCAGUUGAAUCUUCAGAGAUCUCAUCACUGCUGGAAAGAGGGACAAAGUGAAAAGCAGCUCCUUCACCUGCUAUCUAAUGAAAGAGCAGAGAGGGCCCUGAAGACUCAUUCUGCAAACCUGGAGGCCAGCAAGCAUACUGUUUGUUUCCAAGUUGCACACUGGAAGGUGAAUUGGAAGAAACUAAUAAAAUCUUUAUGUCAAAGACUGCCACGGUACAAGUCUAAGAGCCUUCCUGGAGCAGAUCAUACAUUAAAAACUACAGCAACAACAAAAGAUUUUUAAAAGCAGAGCAAUUGUUGAGUGCACAGAGGAAACCAGCAGCAAAGUGUCUCCCAGACUGCAAGAGAGUAUUGCAUAUGCAAGUUCCACAUUGCUGGCAGGUAUGGAGAGGGAACAGGAAUGCAGAAGUCACUGCACUGGCAUGUUUGCAGACUGCUGAACCAGACACUUUCCUCCAGACAUAGAUUGGCUGCUUGCUUUGGCAAACAGAGUGAAACAGGCCAGUCAAAUCCCAAAAAAUAUCACAGGAUUCAGCAAAACGCAUGUCCAACACUCUGGGUAGCAAACCAGUUGUCCGGUGGCUGAAUCUUUUCACAGUGAGGUGGGCCCUAGGAAUAAUUCCUCUUGUGAGCCUGGAAAACCAGCCAUAAGAGAACUGUGAGCAGCUGCCAAAAGCAUGGGGAGCUAAGUCACCUCGGCUGCACUAAAUGCUGGUAGAAGACUAGUCCUUUAUGCAGUCUCAUCUCGGAAUAAUUUUCUGCAGGAACUACUGUGAAUUGUCGCAGGAGCUACUGUUGCCUGCUCAGACACCAGAUUCCCACACUGGAAGAGGCAGCUUCCUGCUGACAAGAAAUCAAGAGGCAGCUUCCUGCUCUCCUCUGCUUUGUCUCUAAGUGCAGCCAGCAUGAGCUCAACUGUUUAGUCUGCCUAGUUACUGAACAGUCAACAGGGUACAAGGAAAUUUUAUUUGUCAAGGCCUCCUCCUGCUGUGGAUUGUCGUGAAUCACAGGGUCAAACACACGAACGGUCUGUCUGGGAAACAUGGUUGAAGAACUGUGGAAUAAGAGUCACAUACCAGCAGUCAAUUCCCCUUUGACCUGUAGCUCAAAGGCACAUCAGAAAUACAAUUUAACUAAUCUCAUUAACAACAUGAUGAAACCCAUACCACACACAUUGGAGGGCAACUGUUAAGCUAAAGCUAAUUUGCAUGAAAUUGUUCUAUCCUUCCUAGUAUAAACGCUUCCAAGUAUACAUCAUAGAAGUGGAACACUAGCUCUCCUGUGACACAGGACCAGAAAGAUCAAGAAAGAAAUUGAUUUACGGUAAAGUGAAGUGCCUUGCCUUGCCAAGUGCCUUGCCAAGAUCAAUAGCAUACUUCACCUUAAAAGCUGCAGCAGCAUCUGGAAACAUUUGCACUCCAGUACAUCUACUAUCGUCAUUGAUCUAACAAACUUUAGCAUAUCAUCAGGAUGUCCCUAUAUUUUUCUUGCCACAAGAAAGCUGGUCAUAAAUUUAUAAAACCUGUGGUGGACUUCCCUAACUACAUGCCCAACUCCAUGUGGAUGAAUUACCAGGUGACCACAUUUAUCAGGAAGAAUGCUUUCCAACAGCAUACUGGAUAUGUCCAUCGACUACUAAGAUAAAUCUCUUUUAAUACCGUUGUGAAAAAAUUAUAUAGGGGAGCUUUGCAGAGAAUUGGAAAGCUUGAGGGGAGAAAGUCCAAGGAUGCUCAGGAAGGGUUUAAAAAGGGGACUUUUAAAGGCUUCAGGAAUGCUCAUGCCAUGCUGAAAUUCACAGCAUGGGCUAUAUGUGUCCCAUGGAAGGAAGUAUGUGCACUUCAGCACACAAGAAAAUAGGUGAUAUGGAUCAGGAUCAGGCAGGAUAUAAUUCACCUUCUUGGCCACCUGGGCACACCCCUGGCUCAUGCUCAGCUGGCUGUCAACCAGCACCCCUAGGUCCUUUUUCAUCAGGCAGUUUUCCAGUGACUCUUUCUCAAGCGUGUAGCACUGCACGGGACUCUUGUGACCCAAGGGCAGGAGCCAGCACAUCACCUUGUUGAAUCUCCUACAAUUGGUCUCAGCCCAUCAAUCCAGCCUGUCCAGAUGCCUCUGCAGAGACUUCCUGCCCUGCAGCAGAUCAGCACUCCUGUUUGGUGUCAUCUGCAGGCUGACUGAAGGGCUGCUUGUUCUGUAGUCCAAGUCAUCGAUCAAGAUGUUAAACAGGACCGGCCCCAGUACUGAGCCCUGGGGAAAAGUGCUUGCAACCAACGUCACCUGGACGUGACUCCAUUCAUUACCACUUGGUCCAGCUAUUCAGCCAGAUUUACCCAGGAAAGAGUGCACCCAGUUUCUCCAGGAGAAUGCUGUGGGAGACAGGGUCAAAGGCUUUGUUGAUGCCGAGGCAGACAGCAUCCAAGGCUUUCCCUCAUCCACUCAGCAGGUCAUUCUGUUACCAAAGGAGAUCAGGUUGGUCCUGCCUUUCCCAAAGCUGUGCUGGCUGGGCCUGAUGCCCUGGUUGUCCUGUUCUGCACAAUGGUACCCAAGGUGAUCUGCUCUGUGUCCUUCCCUGGCACCAGUGUCAGACUGACAGGCCUGUAGCUCCCUGGAUUUUCUCUCAGGUGCUUCUUGUGUAAAGGUGUCACACUGAUUAUCUUCUAGUCACCUGGGACCUCCCUGUUUAGUCAGGACUGCUGGUAAAUGAUUGAAAAUGACUCAGUGACUCUGCCCACUUCCUCAGUACCUUUGGGUGGAUUGCAUCUGGUCUCAUAGACUUGUGCGUCUAUGUGUCUAAGUGGUAACUCAGCACAUGCUGGAUACUCAAAUAAAAAUUAUUUUUACCCCUUUUUCUAAGUGUUACUUUCUCCUUAUAGCCUGUUGCUCUUUAGAGACUUCACUUCUGCUUCAUCAUCUCUGCUUGUGAUUUUGUACACGUUGCUGGAAUUUAAAUGUUGAUGUUUGUGGUUUCCACAUGUGUAGGCAAUCAAAAAUUUGACCAUCAGUUUUCAGUCUGGCAUAUUAGAGCCAAAUGAUAAUUGAUGGUUAUGAAGAAGUGCACCAGUCAGGAAGGUAACUUCCUCCUCAGUUUUAGUGCAAUAACUACAGCUGACAGUCACAGGGACAAAACAUUGCCGUGCACAAUGCAGUAGGCUGCUGAUAACAUUCCUCUUACAAGAGCAAGCUCCGGGUUCUGAGAAUGGAAUAUCCAAGAUGCAGAACUCCUGGGAAAUGAGCAAGAGCUUCUGUUUUGCUUCUCCCUGAUGACCCCUGUGCUCAGUAUAAAUUUUGUAACUUAAAAGUAAGAAUAUAGCUAAAGCUUUUUUAUUUAAUAACCARAUUGUUGAAGGGAUCUAAGCUGUAUUCAUGUAUAUUACAGUAGAUCGGUUGAGUAGGCAUGGCCACAACUGCUUAAGGUGCCAUCUUCUAAAAAAAUUGUCAUAAGAGAGAGUCAACACACAUAGGCCUUAACGAUUUCCAAAUCUGCAAUGUUUGUUUGGAAAAUUAGUGGUAGAGGAUUCUUGAGUCAGUAAAUCUGUCACUAUUUCUACUUUUCUAUGUAAUGCUCCUCUUUGAAUCAUUAGAUUGAAGAAAAAGUCUUCUGGUGAGGAAGACUUCAUAACCAGAAAUUCCUAAUUGCUAGCUAACAGUUACAUGCUCUGGUGAGAGCAUUUAUCUUUCACUUACCAGCAGGAAUAUUUGUCAGCCUAAAUUUACUUAAAUGGCUAGUAUUUGCUUUUUCCUCUUUUACAAAUGAUUGCUGAAUCAGUUUGUCUCAUACAGUCGAGUGGAUUUGGCUAGAGAAUGAACCUGAUUUAUUUGACUUUCAGACUAGAGAGAAAACAAAGAAUUUUUUUUCCAUGGGAGGAAAUGGAGGCGUUUGAAAGCCAAUAACAGUGACGAUUGAAGAGCUCAAGAGGGUUGGAAUGACCGAGGGUAUAGUUAAAAAUCUAUUGCUUGGGUUUAAAUCUCUCUGAGCUUUAUAGUAGCCCUCAAUUAUAAAAAAAAUUAUGCAGUUUAGGAAUAAAACUUUUCAGCUAGAGACUGAAAGCAAUUUCAGUCAAUUCUUUAGCAGGGACAACAGGAAGAAAGAUAUCAUCUCCCCACACACCGCAUAUUAAAGGUUAUUGAAAGAAACAGGCAUUUCCUACUUUUUAGCAGAUGCAAGACGUUGCGUAACAGUUAUAGAGUUAAAAAUCUGUGGAUUAUGCUUAAGCUAAGGUACAUCUAUAACAAAAUAAUGAUCCAUAUUUCAGAAUGUCUGAACUUGUGGGGCAGUGAGCCUCCAAGUUGUCUCUUGCCAAGUCAGUUUGCUGACUGCCACCUACACAGCUGUGUCCAUAGCUGGUGGUAGCUCAUAGCUCCUCCUGUAAGGGACCUUUAAGUCUUUAUUUUUAAACCAGAGGAUUGAUAGACCACAACUCUGAAGCUAAAAUGCAACUGUGGUGAGACUGAUAUUCAAAAAAUUUUUCCCAGUGACUCCUAGGCAAGAAUGAAGUUAUUUAGGAAGUUUUCAGAAUGACCAUGCAGAACCUAGUGUAAGCAUACCAGUGCUCAGUCUGGUGAUAACUGAAGAAGCAACACUGCUGCUCCACCUUAUCAUCCUUUGGGUAGAGAGACUGUCCUGAGUCCAAAGGCCCCUUCCAAUUUCAUACAUUCUGUGUGUGUGUUGUGAUAAUGUCCAGACCUUACAGGUUUAACCAUUAGAAUAGGGUACUUAAAUAAUUUGUGCCUAUGUGU